GUGGGGGAUAUUGCACAAUGGGGGAAACCCUGAUGCAGCAACGCCGCGUGAGGGAAGAAGGUUUUCGGAUUGUAAACCUCUGUUCUUAGUGACGAUAAUGACGGUAGCUAAGGAGAAAGCUCCGGCUAACUACGUGCCAGCAGCCGCGGUAAUACGUAGGGAGCGAGCGUUGUCCGGAUUUACUGGGUGUAAAGGGUGCGUAGGCGGCGAGGCAAGUCAGGCGUGAAAUCUAUGGGCUUAACCCAUAAACUGCGCUUGAAACUGUCUUGCUUGAGUGAAGUAGAGGUAGGCGGAAUUCCCGGUGUAGCGGUGAAAUGCGUAGAGAUCGGGAGGAACACCAGUGGCGAAGGCGGCCUACUGGGCUUUAACUGACGCUGAAGCACGAAAGCAUGGGUAGCAAACAGG
rnacentral:rRNA from 1 species